CUAAGAAUAUUCCGCAAUGGACGAAAGUCUGACGCAGCAACGCCGCGUGAAGGAUGAAGGUUUUCGGAUUGUAAACUUCUUUGAUGAGGGACGAAAAAAAUGACGGUACCUCAAAAACAAGCCACGGCUAACUACGUGCCAGCAGCCGCGGUAAUACGUAGGUGGCGAGCGUUGUCCGGAAUUACUGGGUGUAAAGGGCGUGUAGGCGGGGAGCCAAGUCAGAUGUGAAAUACCGAGGCUUAACCUCGGGGCUGCAUCUGAAACUGUUUUUCUUGAGUGUCGGAGAGGAAAGUGGAAUUCCUAGUGUAGCGGUGAAAUGCGUAGAUAUUAGGAGGAACACCAGUGGCGAAGGCGACUUUCUGGACGAUAACUGACGCUGAGGCGCGAAAGCGUGGGGAGCAAACAGG
rnacentral:rRNA from 2 species